rnacentral:sRNA from 1 species
UUCAUGAUCUGGCCUCAAAUCAGGUAGGGCUACCCGCUGAACUUAAGCAUAUCAAUAAGCGGAGGAAAAGAAACUAACUAGGAUUCCCUUAGUAACGGCGAGUGAACCGGGAUGAGCUCAAAUUUGAAAUCUGGCGUCUUUCAGGCGUCCGAGUUGUAAUCUAUAGAGGCGUUUUCCGCGCCGGACCGCGUCCAAGUCUCUUGGAAUAGAGUAUCAAAGAGGGUGACAAUCCCGUACUUGACGCGACAACCGGUGCUCUGUGAUACGUUCUCAAUGAGUCGAGUUGUUUGGGAAUGCAGCUCUAAAUGGGUGGUAAAUUCCAUCUAAGGCUAAAUAUUGGCGAGAGACCGAUAGCGAACAAGUACCGUGAGGGAAAGAUGAAAAGCACUUUGGAAAGAGAGUUAAACAGCACGUGAAAUUGUUAAAAGGGAAACGAUUGAAGUCAGUCGUGUGAGGGGUAUUCAGCCGUCUCUGGCGGUGUAUUUGCCUCUCACGGGUCAACAUCAGUUUGAUCCGGUAGAAAAAGGCGGGAGGAAGGUGGCACCCUCGGGUGUGUUAUAGCCUCCUGUCAUAUGUGCCGGACCAGACUGAGGAACGCAGCUUGCAGCAAUGCCGGGGUUCGCCCACGUACA